rnacentral:tRNA from 1 species
GCGGAUAUAGCUCAGGGGUUAGAGCGCCUCACUGUGGCUGAGGAGGUCGUGGGUUCAAGACCCAUUAUCCGCCCCA